rnacentral:lncRNA from 1 species
CCUUUCAACAGCACAUGGUAGCCAGCCGGUAUAAGAACUGGCUAACCACCUUGUCUUUUCGCUUGUUUCUUCCUUCCUACUCUCAGAAAAUAC